rnacentral:rRNA from 1 species
AUGGGGAUGUUCUUCUGGAAAGCCCAGAGGACAUCUCCACCCAUAUUUACUCCUUUUAUAAGGAGUUGUUUUUGGCUGAGCCACGCGGAGGCGUCUCUCUCUGCGCUGGCUUCUGGCCGCCUGCUGACCAAGUCUCCGAUGUGGAGAAUGCGGAACUUACUCUCCCAUCCCCCCCUGAGGAGGUGGGCCGAGCGAUCGCGUCUAUGA